ACAGGAAUCUGGGAGAUAAUUUACGUCUCAAAGGGGCAGAGAAAGAACUUAUAAUGAUGACUUGUCUAAGGUCUGAGAAGCAUGCUGGGAUACUGAGUACAUUGGUUGUCCAACAUAGACAUCUCUCACCAACAGAGUAACAGGAAGCAUAAUCUAAUCGUCUUUAGUGCUCUGACAUCCAUGCUCAUUUUCAAGUCAUAUGAGAG
rnacentral:lncRNA from 1 species